rnacentral:lncRNA from 1 species
GCAUUCCUCAACUACCAGAAACACACAUACAUAACACUAUCCUUUGUUAAACAUUUCCGUAAGUAUUAAUGAAAUUAUUCAAUGUUUUUAAGUCUGUAGACGUUUGGUUUUUCGCCUGUCGAUUAUUUGUUUCGCUUCCAGGUUCGAGAUUUGGCUGCUAUUUCUAGCUUUGAAAGGGAGUUAUCACUGAUUUGUAAGAGAUUUGGCUGCUAUUUCUAGCUUUGAAAGAGAGUUAUCACUGAUUUUUUUGAGAUUUGGCUGCUAUUUCUAGCUAUGAAAGAGAGCUGUCACUGAUUUGUUCGAGAUUUGGCUGCUAUUUCUAGCUUUGAAAGAGAGUUAUCACUGAUUUUUUGGAGAUUUGGCUGCUAUUUCUAGCUAUGAAAGAGUCUUAUCACUGAUUUGUUCGAGAUUUGGCUGCUAUUUCUAGCUAUGAAAAAGAGUUGUCACUGAUUUGUUGGAGAUUUGGCUGCUAUUUCUAGCUAUGAAAGAGUCUUAUCACUGAUUUGUAAGAGAUUUGGCUGCUAUUUCUAGCUAUGAAAGAGAGCUGUCACUGAUUUGUUCGAGAUUUGGCUGCUAUUUCCAGCACGGACGAAACCUUCUACAGACUCCCUUGUUGCCAUGUUAGUUUGUAACAUUAACCUUUUGUUGUGUUAUAUUUUGAGAAAUAUUUUCUAAUAUGUUUUGUGUGUCGGUAGAAGGGUUUAUGUAUUACACUGUUGGUAUUUGUGUCUUUUUUAACUUUUUCUCUCUCCCCAUUGUCUUUAGUUAUCGUGUUGCAUAGUGUGCUGGGUGUUAUUGUUCCAUUCACGUUUUCUGUUGAAGUUCCGUCUGUCUCUUGCUAUAUCUGUGAGAUCUGUGAUCUGUCUCAUUGUCAUGCCUGUUCUAUGCAUUGAUAACACCUCAACAUCUAUCUUGUUAACCAAGCUCCUAUUUUCUUAUUGAGCAUAUUAAUGGAGUACUGAUAAGGUUUUCUCUCCUUUACUUCCUGCCAUUGUUCAUCUAUCUGCUCCCCUAUGUUAAAUACCAGCUGAAUCUGUCGCCUCUACAUCUUACACUGCUCUUUCUUUAUCAUUUCAGAACAUCAGAUGACACUGGCAUAACAGAAGAAACAUCCUCAAUACCUACCACGUUUUAAGGACUAAAGGAAAAUAUUAUACAAAAUAGAUGUAUCAGAUUGUUUCUACCAUUCUGAGAUAGAGGCCCUGUAAAACAUUUACUCUGAGCUGG